UCCGUGGCGACAUGGAAUCUGAAGGAAGCGGACGGCAAACCUUCGGUCUGAGGAACACGAACUUCAUAUGAGGCUAGGUAUCAAUGGAUGAGUUUGCAUAACAAAACAAAGUCCUUUCUGCCAAAGUUGGUACAGAGUAAAUGAAGCAGAUUGAUGAAGGGAAAGACUGCGUU
rfam:Oceanobacillus iheyensis HTE831 DNA, complete genome.